rnacentral:piRNA from 1 species
UGAACUGUAGAAGCAGAGCUAAGAACUUC